GGGCCUGUAGCUCAGCUUGGUUAGAGCACCGGACUCUUAAUCCGGGUGUCGAGGGUUCGAAUCCCUUCAGGCCCG
rnacentral:tRNA from 1 species